CCCUGAUAUAAGCAAGCAUUUAAAACAGCCUUAGUAUAAGCUCUCAAUAAGCAAUAAUGUUUCUUCCUUGUAAGCUUACCUCAAUUUGCUCAACAAAUUAUGGGCAACAGUUGCACACAGGAGAGCAAGUAGAAAUAAAUCACUUGCAUUGUGAAGUCCAACAGUAAAACUCUAGAUUACAUAGUCCUACGUGUAAGUUCAGAUUUCCCUGGGUGCCAUAGCAGAGUUUUUAUAUUGGGCAUAGGGCAGGGUUGAACUUCUAUUGUAUUUUCACAUCACUGCUGAUCCUGUGACCAGUGUAUCUCACACCAAGCAUAGCAUAUGUUCAUCAGACUACAAUCUAUACAAGACACUUAACUAAACCCAAGAUUCUCACAGCAAAACAGGCAGGACAAGCCUAAGAGUGAAACUAAAUCACUCUCACGAAAUAUCACUGAUGAUAUUCAAAAACUCAAAUAUGAAGAUGAGACAGCUCCUAGGGCCACAAAGAGGUGGAAAAAAAAAAAAAAAACAAGAAGAUGGUCUGAGAAUUGGACUUUUAUAUCUUCAACAUCCCACACUCCCAUCUGUCCACAGCAAAAUGCAUAGAAAAUAUCCCCCUGACUGAUGGUUUCUACAGUAAAAAAAGUGACAUUGAGGUGAACCACCAGCUUCCCCUACCACCUUAAGUUUCCUGACAGGAGACCUUUCUCUGCUUCAACGCAUGGGAAGCAUCAUGAAUGCCUGAAAGGAAAAAUAUACCUGAGGACAGCCAUAGAUAAAGGAGGAGAGUGGGACUAUUACCCCCAGCCCUAGAAACUCCAUCUGAAAUUCAGCCAAAAGAGAUGCCAAAUCAGGGUAGCUAUUCAGCAGCAGUACAUUGUAGGAGGAAUAGUCCACAGGUCCCCUGGGCAUGAACCACUAGCCAGCCUUCCCACACAGCUGGGAUAUCCCUUUUGGCACCUCCCCAUUUGGGAUGGGCAGUGCUCUGAUCAUUAACUGGAGCCAAGGAAAACCUAGGCUCAAAGCACAAUCUAGUGUUAAAGAGAAAGCAGCAACCAGUGGGGGAAAUAAAGAAAUUCAGCAGGUAAAUUCAAAGAACCUCUAAGCAAACAUAUCCAAUAAUAAUCAAAACAAGCCAGAGAAAGAAGAGAGAAAUAAUCACUUAAUGCAAAAAUACAGAUGUAUAUCCACAAUAAACAACAGCAAAUAGGGAACUAUUACCUCCCUAAAUGAACAAAGCAAGGAACCUGUGACUGAGCCUAAUAGGAUGGUGAUACGGAAUCUCUGACCAAGAAUUCAAAAUGACAAUUUAAAGGAAACUCAGUAUCUCCAAGAUAACACAUAAAAGCAACUUAGAAAUUUAUCAGAGAAAUUUAACAAAGAGAUUGAAAUUUAAAGAAAAAUUAGACAGAAAUCUCAUAACUGAAAAAUACAUUUGCUGAGCUGAACAAUUUAUUAGAAGUUCUCAACAGCAGAAAGGAUCAAGCAGAGCAAAGAAUCGGUGAGCUCAAGGACAGGUUAUUUGAAAAUACAGAGUAUGAGCCACCGUGCCACAUCGGGAAUUCUUCGAUAAGAAAAACCACCAUCACCACCGCCACCACCAUGCAAAAAGAAAACAUUUGAGGUAUAAAACCCACUGUAAGUACACAGAAAAAUCCAGAAUGCCCUAAUACUUGUAAAGGUGGUGUGAAACCCACUUAUAACUCUAGUAUAAAGCCUAAAAGACAAAUCAAAAACUUUAAUAGCUACAGUAAUCGUCAAGAGUUAGGCAAUAUAAAAAUAUAUUAAUUGAGACAAUAUAAAGUCAAAAUGUGGUGGGGGGAUAAAGUUUGUUUCUAUUGUGUUUUCGUGCUCUGUAAGUUUUCAUCUCUUUACAACUUGUUACAUCUAUAAAGAUGUUUUUUUUUGUAAGCCUCAUGGUGUCCACAGUACAAAAGAACUAUGAAAAAGGGCGUCGGAUUUGCUCCACCCCCCC
rnacentral:lncRNA from 10 species